rnacentral:lncRNA from 1 species
AUGCACUGCGCCAACUGCCAAGGCCUCUUCAAGAGGAAGUUUCUCUGGAAACAUAAUAAAGUGUGCACACUUGCACAGAAAAGCAACAAAACGGGAAGAACCCGAAUUCAAGCUCUCUGUGCGAAUGCACAGCCAAUUCCCAAUGGAGUCAGCUCCAAAGUCUGGGAGAUGAUAAACAACAUGUUUCAGGAUGAAAUAGCCGACACGGUCAAAAAGGACAAAGUCAUCAUUGCUCUCGGGGAGCAAAUGUUCAACAAAAAAGGUGGAAUGCAACAGGAGCACAUUAGGCAGACCCUAAGAGAGCUGGGAAGAUUGGUUCUAGCAGGGCGCAAGGUCACUCCACUCACCAAAAUUGAACAGUACGUCAUGCCAUCCAACAUGGAUCAUUUAAUCAAAGCAGUGAAAAUAGUGGCAGGCUUUGAUGAAGAAAAAAAUGUCUUUAAAAAAUCGAACCUGGCCUUAAAACUUGGACACAGCCUGAAGAAAAUUGCUGAUCUCGUCACCUGUGAAGCCCUGAUAGCUGGGCAUAAGGAAAAAGCUAAUUCCACAGAAGACUUCCUUCAGAUUUACAAAACACGAUGGAAUGAAUACGUCUCUGCCUCUGCAUACCGAUCCUUGCAUGAAGCAAAAUGGAAUGCGCCCCAGCUCAUUCCAUUCACCGAAGAUGUGAAAAAAAUGCAUAUCUAUCUAGACGAGAAGCAGAAGGAGUACUCUCAUGUACUCUCUGGUGAUCAGACAUCAAAGAACUGGACCAAACUGGCACAAGUGAUUCUGACUCAGGUCAUCUUGUUUAACCGACGCAGAGAGGGAGAGGUCUCAAAGAUGUUUUUGACAAUGUUCUCAUCCAGAACCAGUACACCCCUCCAUGAUGAUGUGGCACAUGCCUUGUCGGACAUAGAAAAACAGCUGUGUAAAUACUUCACACGUAUCGAAAUUCGUGGCAAAAGGGGAAGAAAGGUACCUGUGCUACUGACGCCGGCCGUAGUAGAGUCGCUUGAAUUGCUGACGAAGCAGAGAUCUGCAUGUGGAGUGCCGGCAAACAAUCACUUCCUUUUUGCCAGGCCUGGUACCGUUAACCACUUGAGGGGGUCAGACGCUAUUCGUCUGUUCGCCCGAGUCUGUGGAGCCCAGCGACCAGAUUCUCUCUCAUCAUCCAAAUUGAGAAAGCAAGUGUCAACACUGUCGAAGGUGCUAAACCUCAAUGACACAGAGCUCGACCAGCUAGCAGAUUUCCUCGGCCAUGAUAUCCGGAUCCAUCGGCAAUAUUAUCGCCUGCCAGAGGGAACUUUGCAAUUAGCAAAAAUUAGUAAGAUCCUCAUGGCAUGCGAACAAGGACGCCUUGCGGAAUUCAGAGGGAAGAGCCUUGAGGAAAUCUCCAUUGAGCCAAAUGGUAAGAUCCAGAGUUUAAGAACUGACUUAUAUUAUUCGCCCAAAGAUUGA